UUAUGUUCAGCAGUCAAACAGUGUGAGGAGUGCAAGUGAGUGCAUUCAGUGGGGUGUGUACAGUACGGAGUGUGAAAAGACACCUAGUUUAACAGCUCUUAUACACAUCUGAGCAGGUGUCCCGAGCUCAGCACUUCUAUGGCGUAACCUUAUCUUGGAUAUUCCAACUUUCAGAAAAAUAGCCCAUGAUGUAAAACGUAAGGCCUGGUGUUUAGCAACCAGGAGAGCCGUAUCCAGGCAACGGAGUGACAAGCGUGAUUGGUCUGAACCCUCGACCUGUGGAAUUCUUGUUGCAGGGGAUCAUCGCCUCACUAAAAACAUUCUCGCAUAACUGUUCCUUCAUGCAGAACUGAAGUGGGCUCAGUGCUGAGCAAAGCCGGAUUGGUUUUCAGAUGGAGGUGCUCAGGCUGAACAGAGAUAUGUGCAUUUAAUUGAACUGACGCCGACUCCCAAAAGGGACACGAUGAACAAGUUCGAGUUCAAGGGUUGCAGUUCCCAGAAACACUGGGUCCCUGGCAGAGGUGCAUCCUGGAUGGAAUGGGGCGCACACACACACACACACACACACACACACUUAUGCACGCAUUUACAUUUUGGAGCAAUAUGAUAUAGCCUGUCCAUUUACAAACACAUUUUUCUGGAGGUGGGAAGAAACUGGAGAACCCAGAGGAAACAUGUAAAGACACAGGGCAAAAAAACCAUGCAAAAUUUCCUGUGAACAAAUUUCUGAAAGCCAAUGAUAUCAUCGCACCACAUACUGCAAUGACCGUAUCCAAUAUUUACACAUACUGAUAUUAGAGUCGAUUAAACUUUAUUGUCAUUGUGCAGAGUACAAAUACAGGGCCAGUGAAAUGCCGUAAUAUAUUUCUUUAAAAUGA